GAACAGUUCGACGCGCAAUUUCAAACGCAACACGUUUCUUUUGAGGUUGUGUGAUAUUUACGUCGUUGUCGGCGUUUGCAACGCUUGAAAAUGAAAACGUUUAACAUUCCCGACUGGGAUGACAACAAGACGGGUGAUAAAGCAGCCGCAGCCAUCAGUAAUGUGGGCAAAGGAAAAAAAUUUAGUGUUAGGACAAGUGGACGGAAGAAUAAACGUAAAUCGAAUGUUGACAAGGCUUCUAAAGUCAUUAAAAAGUCGUCACCGAAAGUGACAAAGAAGAAAUCAUUGAAUUUACAAAACGAAAAGUUGUUGAUACACCAAAGAGAGCAAAGGCUUCAACCAAUGGGAACACUCCAAAGGCUGUCAAACAAAAAGUUGUCAAAACUCAACAGAAGACAACUUUUACUGGUAAAAGAACAGGAUUAAGGAAGCGACCAUUGCCUGAACAACAACCUGCAACAAUUCCUGCUAAGAAAAUUCAAUCACCUGUUAAAACAUCCCCAAAGACUACAUCACCAUCCAAAAACAAAAAACAAUCACCUAACAAAUUGAAUCCUGCAUCAAUUGUGAUCAAAAAAACAGCAAAAAAGAAAUCCCACAAGAGUAAAAUCAAAGUAGAUGCUUUAAUAGGCAAGAAAACAUCCCCAGUGGUGUCACCAACAGUUGAAACACCGGAAAAAUCACGCGCAGACUCGAAAAAGCUCAAAAAACUCACCGAGAUGGUAACAAAAACAAACAAAUCUAAAAUACAACAUAAAAAAUCCACACCGCUACGUGAAAAGAUGAUGGAUCGUUUACAAUCAGCAAGAUUUCGUUACCUCAACGAAGAAUUAUACACGAAAGACAGCAGCGGUGCUGUGAAAUUAUUCGAAGAGGAUCCCGACGCAUUCACGGCGUAUCACGAAGGUUACCGACAACAGGUACGGAAAUGGCCGAUGAAUCCCCUGUCAAAAAUCAUCAUAGCUGUCAAAAUGAUGCCUGUGAAUGCUGUGGUAGCUGAUUUUGGUUGUGGUGAUGCUGAAUUAUCGAAAAACGUGAAACAAACCGUCCAUUCGUUUGAUUUAAUCGCCGCCAAUGACAGAGUGACAGCUUGUGACAUGGCGCAUGUACCUUUGGGUAAACACACUGUAGAUGUCGCUGUGUUCUGCUUGAGUUUAAUGGGGACUAACCUGCAGGAUUAUCUCAUCGAAGCGAAUCGUGUCUUGAAAGUUGGUGGAACUUUACUGAUUGCUGAGGUGGCAAGUCGGUUUGAUAAAGUAGCAGACUUCCUUACCGGCGUAAAUCGCUAUGGUUUCACAACCAUACACACAGAUUUCGCGCAUAAUUUAUUCUACUUGAUGCACUUCGAGAAGCAGCGCGAUGUUAAGAAUCGCAAAACCCUACCGAUUCUAACCCUCAAUCCUUGCAUCUACAAAAAGCGUUAAUCUAAUCCACACCUUAAAGACAUGCCUGGGCGGUGUGCAUAUUUGUAAGUCAAAUGUGAAUUUCGACUCGGACGAAAAAAUGUCGCCUGGCAGACAGAGCGACGCGGCGUGACCUCACCCGUCUGACCAGUUGAUGCUCAUGCCCACACCGCAAGAGUGGCGCGAGUGUGAAAGUACGAGCAAAGUCAAGAACGCGCCGCUCGUUACAAAAUCGGCCUGCGCAGCACACCGCGCGGAGUUUUGGUCAUUGGCACCUCUCGCACGGCUAUAAAUAUUAUCUCGGCAGUCGGAUAUCCCCGCGCGUGAUUCGCACGUACGCCAGGCGGCGAGGUAUAAGUCAUCGGUUUAUUAUAGCGCGCCGGAAAAUAUAAAAUAUGAGCUAAGAAACUGCGAUCGAGUGCGCUCUGCUAUGCGACCAUAUUUUCUCGAAUCGCGCGAGAGAAUGAAUAUGUGUGUAUAAAUAUGCCCCACCUCACCGCGCGUACGCCGCCGAGCUGACUAAACCGUGUUUGUAUUCGACGGCACGUCGCACCGAAAGGGACCCGAAGUGGAUUGUGUAACAAUCCGCUCCGACACUCGGUUGAUAUACGCUGUCUUUGUUAUACUUAUGUAUGUAAAGUUUGGAGCCCCGAAACGUGCACGCUGCGAGUGUGGCGAGCGUAGGCCGUGCGGCGGUGAGCGGGGUGGCGAGAUACAUGCUGUGAAAGGCCGCGAGUGUGGAAUGCGAGCGAGCUGGCAACAUGGCGGCCGGACGCGCCAGACAGGCUGUCGCCAACCCAGCGCCGGCCAGACAAAGCGUCGUCGGUGCGCUGCGGGUUUUCAUUCAACAAAACAGAUGCCACACACCGCACCAAUACUUCUACAUCCACACAUCAACUCAUAGCGCUAUGUUAGUUUAUUUUAUUUUAUUUCAUUUUCUUAUUUUAUUACAGGCGACGAGAAUAUCACGUAGAUGUACGUGCGCAUGACCAACAUUAUGAAUAUUAUAAAAUGGCGGCUGACCGCGAUUGGAGUAAAAGCUGUCGACAUCAUCACACACACGAGAAAGAAAGCUGAAAUCCACCAUUCUACCUGCUCAGACGCCAAGGCGUCUGCUCGGCCACGCAGCCCAAAGAAGCACAAAAGAACAGGCGUGAAACGGGUCGAGAAGCGAGAAUCAAGCUCCAUUCUUGGGUGCGUGUCGGUGUGUUGGUGCUGGCGCUGCAUUUUUUUCCAUGCGCCGGCUGCCGACAGCCGAACGCACUUGCCAGACAGGAUGGCAGCACAACCAAACGGCACCUGAGUCGCUCGGAUUUUGUAAGAGUAAGAAUUACGCGCCGAUGAUAUUUUCGUCUUUAGUUUAUCUUAUCGGGCUUAGUUAUAUUAUUUACACGCCUAGCGCACGUAAUCGUAUAGCAGGUUAGACUUUGAGACUGUUUUAUCAUCUAUCAAUUGUCAAUAUGCGGCGAAACAGAACAAAACAAAGCAGGAUUCAUUUUAUUUUGGUAUUUCCGGAGUAUAAUAUAUAGUGGACGCGGGUUUCUUUUAAAUUUAUAGUAAAAAUAGCUCGGGAAAACGUUGAAAAACAUUAAAAAUGUUUGAUUAGUGAUUGGUAACAUUUUAAAUCAAAUUUUUGGUGAUAAAUAGUUAAAUUUUAAUAAUUUAACAUAUUUUUUGGAGAGAAAACAUAAUUUUCGGAUAUAAAAUGAGUUGAAAGAUGAAAAAACAUUGAAAAGUUGAAAGAAAUGAACGAAAAAUGUUUUUUUGUUGAUUUUCGAUUGAUUUUAUAACCGCGAUUGGUAAUUACGUAUAAUAAUUGAGUAUUAUUCGUGUUUUUGUGCGUUUUAACGUCAACAGACGUGUAAUUCCACGAAAAACGUGCACAAAACAGCGCACGGCUUGGAAAUAAAUUUCCGCGAAGCAAUUUAGCACACAUCAUCAUCAAAUUUAAGUAUUUUUGAGGAUAUUAUGUGAAUGAGACGGGAAAUAUUCACUUUUCAAGGACAAAACUAUACUAUACAAGUAUACAGGGUGUUUUUAAUCAUUUUUGAUGAUAUUUUAUAACACAGAAUGAAAAAUAUCAUUAGAACACGUUUAAAUCUUGAUGUUUUUGAUAUUUUGAGCAAAAUAAAACGGGUUACAUCCACGGGAGACAGAGGAGAGGGGAGAAAAAACCCGCAAAAAGUGGUGGGGGUAAACUGCGAGAGAUUCAAAUCGGUAAUCUGCUAUAAAUUUAUUAUGGUGCAAUCACAUAAACACGAUAAUUUUAAACUUGAUCACAAAUUGUUUAACAAAACUUAACAACUACAACUCUCGAUGCUCGAUUUGUUCGUGUGCAUGGCGCCGCUUGAACGCCAUCGUCGCCACUUUUUGACUUAUCCUCUUACAACCAGUCUUUGCAAAUUUAUUCUCUGGUGGCGGUGCCCAUUCGAUGAACGCCAUAACCUCCCUAAUAAAAACAAAACAAUAAACAUAUAAUUUAACUCUAAUACAAAAUAAUUAUCAUAAAACUAACUCAAUAUCGCCAUCGGUAGCAACCACGUCGCGUAUCCCAAACUCCGAUCGCACGCACUUCUCGACAUGUUCGCGCUCCAUCGGCAAAAACGGCACGUAAUGAUCAAUUAGAUUAUUCUUAAUCGUAUCGGACCGAAACAAUCCACCUACGGAUAAAAUCCAAGCAUAAAAUUAAUCAUAAUUAAUAUGAUUAAUAAAAUAAUGAAGUUUGAAGUUACCGUGGGUGUUGAAUGCGCCUUGGGCGAUCAGCAUCUCGAAAUUAACGAGUUUAAUCGAUGAACGAUGAACACCAGCACGCCAUAAUUCAAGAAAAUGGUUGGAUAUGGACAACGCGCCUGUAUUCGAUAGGAAGAUGAAGAUUGCCUGGCGGUAAUCAACGUUUUCCACGUUAUCGUAGUAAUCCAGCACGGUUUUGAUACCGUCUAGAAUUCCGGGAUGCAUGUGCUCCACUUCAUCGAAGAUGAAUAAGUGUCUGCCACAUUCACUUACUUUGGAUUUUACAUAAUCAUACAAAUUUUUCUUAAAAGCAUAAAAAAAAUUAAUAAUUUAUCAUUUAUUUCAGAUUUUUUAAAGAAAAACUUACUUUAUAGGUGCUUAUAUUGGAUUUCUCAGGGAAAUCUAUCCGACUGAACAAAGUGACAUAUUUGCUCUUCAUUCCUUUAACAUAUAAACUCUCAGCGAUGAUUUGAGCAAUGAAGUUCUUCCCACUGCCUGUAUAGCCAUGGAAACUCAUCGUGAGUGGUUUCUUUGCAUGGUUGCUGUUCCAAUGUGCAGCAAUUGCAUUCAACACCAAAUCUGUGGCAAUAUGUUGGCCAAAAACAUGCUUUUCAAACUCUUCUUUCAUUCCUGAAGACAAAAAUUAACAUAUUA